rnacentral:rRNA from 1 species
GGAGUUUGGGCCGUGUCUCAGUCCCAAUGUGGCCGGUCACCCUCUCAGGUCGGCUACUGAUCGUCGCCUUGGUGGGCCGUUACCUCACCAACUAGCUAAUCAGACGCGGGUCCAUCUUAUACCGAAAAACUUUUCGCACUGCAUCAUGCGAUGCUGUGCGCUUAUGCGGUAUUAGCAGUCGUUUCCAACUGUUAUCCCCCUGUACAAGGUAGGUUACCCACGCGUUACUCACCCGUCCGCCACUCAGUCAACAAAUCGUCACCCCGAAGGGAUCGUAAUAAGUUGCUUCGUUCGACUUGCAUGUGUUAAGCACGCCGCCAGCGUUCAUC